CCUAGAAGCAGGAUAUCCUACAAAUUUUCAUCCAGUGAGUCACAUGGGCCCUGAAGAAUCCAGGAACCCAGGAAAAGCUGCCUUUUGUGGUCCCUCGGCUGUGGUGCAAAGUGGGGCAUGAAUAGUCAAGACUCCAUAAGCCUGGGGCAGCUUUCCUGAGCCUUGGGUGAUAAGCUCACAAUGCAUCCAAGACUUCUUCUAUCCUUUGCUGCUUUUCUAUAUUGGGGGUUCAUGACGCCCCCAAUGUAACCCGGUCCCUGGGCAGUGUGCGCUGCAAGAGAAGGGAGAGACAAAGACACAGACACAAAACUGCUGCCUUGCGCUGGCUUCUCAACUUCAGUGGUAAGAGUUGUUCUUCCUUGGUUGCCAAACUCACUGGGAAGGAAUUUAUAACCGUGGAAUUAUUUGGGCAAGCUUUGCUUUUGGAAAAUAAGACAAGUUCAGAAAAAGCCUCUUGUUCCUGCAUCUGUUUAUUCUCAAAUGUCUUCAAGCCAAAAUAGUCCUAUAUGCCACUGUGGCAUAUUUUGGACCCCUUCAACAUCAAUGAGAAAGCACAUUCUUCAGUUGGGAUUUUAUGUAUGUCUCAUAAUUGAGAGAACUUUCUACGGACUGAUUUCUGGCUCCCCGCAUUUAAACUUUUAUUCCACUCUGCCACACACAUACCUCUGGGAACUCCUCACAACAGAACCUUUGACGCUGUACUUUUAUGCCACCACUUUGGGGGAGCUGUCAGUGGAUGUUGGGACAAUUCUUGGAAGCCACUCUACAUGACGAUGGCUAGCAAUAACUUAACUGUGAAAGAAAAGCAGUGUGAACCCACAGAAAUACAUCUUAACACAUCCAAUUUAAAUGUAUCCUCAUCUCUUGUUUCCCUUAGCUAGAUCCUCAAAAUGCCUAUGGUCUCUCUAACACCAUUUAAAGAAGAAAUGUAACAAAGGAGAAAUUGGAAUGGAAUAAAGAUGUGUUCUUAAUCUAUUGGGGUUAAAAUCCGUACUCUUGCAAAUAUAGAAGGCAUAUUACCACGCCGAAGCCUCUCUUUGCACCGCCACCUCAAGGACUUGGAUGGGGCAGUUGCAAAUGAGAGACCCUGAAAGCUUAAGCUUCGUGAGCAUCACUGUAAGUCUGCGCUGGAGGGUAGCUCAGGAACUGGGGAACAAUGGCCAGCGUGCCUACAAACAGUAACUUUUGGUAGCUGAAGGCAAUAUUGGUUUAUAGACCUUUCGAAAAUACUGUUUUAUAGUGGAAAAUAAAACAGAGAAAGGGGCACUGCCUCAGAUUCAAUAAUACUUUUUUAAGUUCACCAUGUUUUGCUCUCAUGCUGUCUCCUGUAUUUUAAAUAUAUUGGUUUUAUAAGGAAGAUAGGAGCAGUGCUUCCUAUUGGUUAGAUGAAGAAGGAAGCUUUAUAUCAGACAUCACUGAAAAGGCAGGUGUAGAGAUUAUUUCUUACCUCCAAACAAGCAGACAUGAUCAAGCUGUAGCAAACAUUUAGAAAGAAAGACAAAGAAAUACUCAGCAAGAGAAGGUUCCAGUACAUUCAGUACUGAAUUUAGGUAUAUAUUGUUGACAAUAUAUACUGUCACUAACCACUGCUAUGUGUUCAACAAUAUAUCAAAACACAAUAUUUUAUAUAUAGGUUAGCCAAAUCCAAAGCUAAUAUUUACAUCCUAAGAGUGGUUUUUUAUCCAGUCAAUUGCAGACAGUGUCGAGAAUCAGUUACACAGCCAAAACAGAAAAUAAAAAGAAACUUAAGGGGGGGGGAGAAAAAAGAACAGCAGUAAGUACAAAGAAUCAUUUUUAUAUUUCCAUCCCACUAUGAGUCAACAAUGCUUUAUCAAAAGCUCUGUUCAAAGUCUUAAACUUUACACCAGUUUCUAGGAAAAAUUUUACUAGACUAAAAUAUGUCUGCUAAUGUUAAAGAUCACCUGGUACAAAUGUGUGUAGCUUUAUGAAGAAUUUCUUUUGCCAAUGGA